rnacentral:tRNA from 2 species
GUGGAUGUAGUUCAAAGGUAGAGCACCAGUUUGUGGCACUGGCUGUUGAGGGUUCGAGUCCCUUCAUUCACCCA